UCUUUCAAGUGGUGAAUAAUCAAACGACAAACGGUUUUAAAGACACAUGAAUCCAAGCGCAGAGUGAUAGACGCAAUUACAUAGGCAAUUACUAGGACAAGUCACACACCAGUAUAUCGUGCACAAGAUAUGAAACAGGGCUAACCAAUCCUGCUCUAAAAUCUACACUAGGCGGUCAAACUAUCCUGGCUUUUUUGGCAGGCUUGUUCGUGACUUCUUCGUCUUCAGAGCAUGCACCAUCAAUUGCCGCAGCGCCGUCAAAUAUCGUCGAACAUGUGCUCCGAUUCAUAACUUGCUGCAUGGCUCGGUGGGAUUAACGCCAACAAGGGGUCGAAGUGGCCGCAACCCUCUUCAAGAUCAUGACCCACAGCGACGCAAUCCUGCGUGCAGAUAAGAACAAAUAUUCAGAUAAUCAACCGAUAAAGGAAUUCAGAAAAUAUCCAAUAUGGCAGAUUUUGUGAACGGGACCUCCUUCACUGACACCAAAAAAACUGGCCACGAUGCUGUAAACUUUGCAUGUGCUUUCAUUCUUUGUUCUUUUACCAUGUCCCCGGUGUACAUGUGUCGAUGCGACUUUCAAUGUAACUUCUCCAUUUCCACGCAAAAAAAAAUGUAACUUCUCCAUACAGUUAACAGAGAGUUCAUGAUCAUUUCUGACCUAUGCUCGCACCCGUACGAACCGUUAUCAUCCGAUCUCAGUAGCCACAUCAUAGCAGUGCAGCCACACCGUUUUGAUCUGCUAUUGGACUGCAGUGGUUUACCCUGCAAAUGAUCUCGAACCAGACCGCAUAAGCACAUUGAAACACAGGCAAAUAAAAAAAAGAAUCUUGGGGCACAAGGACUUAAUAACCAGUUUAGCUCUGACUCACCGCGCAUGCAUGCACUUUAUCCCAUGGACAUUGAGUCUGGCUCUUUGCAUACCGGACACCAAAGUCAGUCUCCCAAAGAGUACAAGUUGUAAAACUCAUAUACUUCUUCGACGGAAGCGAAGCUAGCUGGAUUAACAACAGUACCUGCCUUGUUAUCAGCAUAAGAAUGUAUCGAAGCCUCAAGCGCAGGAGGCACUCUGCUGGGAUUGUUCUCCCUCUCAUCUGCAUCCUAACUGAUCCUAAUUCUGCAAAUUUUAACAUGGACACCAAUUAAUUGUUGAAUCACACAUGGGAUCCUGAACCAGAAAAAUGAAGAUAUCUGAUGCUUUGCAUGUCAUAAUCACUUGUCAAUUUCACAUGAAGACUCGUUUACUCCAUUAUGUGCUACCAUUAUACAGAGUCACAAAAUAAUAGAUUAGAUCACAAGUAAACUUCCUUUCGUGUCCAGCAGGAGCCCUGUGAUUUUGAGACGACCACUCCCUCUGCGUCUCAUCUUCUUUGGCCGCUCAUAUUUUCAGGGGACAUUGAAUCGGCCACCACCUCGCUACCACAGAUGUAUGAAUCGAUAAUCUCCUCUGUCAUGAUUGUCUCUUCUGGGUGCCGUCCUCCUCCGUUCUCUCCGGACUCCAUUCCUCCACUGUUUGCAUGGGAAGAAAUCUAAUCUCCAUUGCGUGUGCGAGCCCCAUGAAUAGAAGCAACAGCCAAUUCCACUGCAGCUACUUCCCCUUGUAAGAUAGACC
rnacentral:lncRNA from 1 species